AAUCUAUAGAGGCGUUUUCCGUGCCGGACCGUGUCCAAGUCCCUUGGAACAGGGUAUCAAAGAGGGUGACAAUCCCGUACUUGACACGACCCCCGGUGCUCUGUGAUACGUCUUCUACGAGUCGAGUUGUUUGGGAAUGCAGCUCAAAAUGGGUGGUAAACUCCAUCUAAAGCUAAAUAUUGGUGGGAGACCGAUAGCGAACAAGUACCGUGAGGGAAAGAUGAAAAGCAUUUGGAAAGAGAGUUAAACAGUAUGUGAAAUUGUUGAAAGGGAAACGAUUGAAGUCAGUCGUGUCCAUUGGACUCAGCCGGUUCUGCCGGUCUACUUCCUUUGGACGGGUCAACAUCGGUUCUGGCCGACGGAAAAGGGCUGGAGGAAAGUAGCACCCUCGGGUGUGUUAUAGCCUCCUGUCGCAUACGUCGGCCGGGUUAGCCCCCGGGCGAAACCGUCCGCUUACGAACG
rnacentral:rRNA from 2 species